rnacentral:misc_RNA from 1 species
GGAGGCUGAAGACUAGUUGUUCCUUCAAAAUCUGUAUUUGUGUCUACUGGACGAGUAGGAUAGUUGAUCACUUUUUCUCCAGGUUGAGAAGGGACCAGGGCAUUGCGUCCUGGUAGAGGUUCAAUCCGAAAAUACUCAUGCUCUAGAGCCUGUGCUGCAGUUAUCCGCUUUCGAGGAUCAUAUUCAAGCAUCUUAGAUAGGAGGUCAUAUGGAGCACUUUUUGGAGAGAGAUGCACAACAUUAUGCAAUCCCGUAUUAUCAUACUUGUGCCCUUGGAUAUGUUGCAAAUCUGAUUGCCAAUGUGGAAGACUGGCAAGUGUUGGCCACUUCUCAAGUGUAGGAUGGCCUAAGACCUUAAAUAUCUUGUCCAACUGAUCAAGCUGGAAGGGAUUUGGCGUGGAUUUGGCUUCUGCCCCUUGAAAAAG